rnacentral:rRNA from 1 species
UACGUAGGGACCGAGCGUUGUCCGGAUUUAUUGGGCGUAAAGAGCUCGUAGGCGGCUCUUCGCGUCGGAUGUGAAAGCUCAGGGCUCAACCCUGAGAGGCCAUUCGAUACGGGAGAGCUAGAGGUAGGUAGGGGAAAGUGGAAUUCCUGGUGUAGCGGUGAAAUGCGUAGAUAUCUGGAGGAACACCGGUGGCGAAGGCGGCAUCCUGGGCCGGUAUUGACGCUGAGGAGCGAAAGCCAGGGGAGCAAACGGG